rnacentral:rRNA from 1 species
AGAGUUUGAUCCUGGCUCAGGAUGAACGCUGGCGGCGUGCCUAAUACAUGCAAGUCGAGCGAACUGAUUAGAAGCUUGCUUCUAUGACGUUAGCGGCGGACGGGUGAGUAACACGUGGGCAACCUGCCUGUAAGACUGGGAUAACUUCGGGAAACCGAAGCUAAUACCGGAUAGGAUCUUCUCCUUCAUGGGAGAUGAUUGAAAGAUGGUUUCGGCUAUCACUUACAGAUGGGCCCGCGGUGCAUUAGCUAGUUGGUGAGGUAACGGCUCACCAAGGCAACGAUGCAUAGCCGACCUGAGAGGGUGAUCGGCCACACUGGGACUGAGACACGGCCCAGACUCCUACGGGAGGCAGCAGUAGGGAAUCUUCCGCAAUGGACGAAAGUCUGACGGAGCAACGCCGCGUGAGUGAUGAAGGCUUUCGGGUCGUAAAACUCUGUUGUUAGGGAAGAACAAGUACGAGAGUAACUGCUCGUACCUGACGGUACCUAA